CGGGGGGGGGGCAAGCGUUGUUCGGAAUUACUGGGCGUAAAGGGCGCGCAGGCGGCCUGGCAAGUCCUACGUGAAAUCCCACAGCUUAACUGUGGAACUGCGUGGGAUACUGCCAGGCUUGAGUCCGGGAGAGGAGAGUGGGAUUCCCAGUGUAGCGGUGAAAUGCGUAGAUAUUGGGAGGAACACCGGUGGCGAAGGCGGCUCUCUGGACCGGUACUGACGCUGAGGCGCGAAAGCUAGGGGAGCAAACGGGAUUAGAUACCCCGGUAGUCCUAGCCGUAAACUUUGAGCACUUUGUGUGGCGGGUAUCGACCCCUGCCGUGCAGAAGCUAACGCAUUAAGUGCUCCGCCUGGGGAGUACGGUCGCAAGGCUG
rnacentral:rRNA from 1 species